rnacentral:rRNA from 1 species
GACAGAGGCCCCAAGCGUUAGGCGGAAUCACUGGGCUUAAAGCGUGUGUAGGCGGACGCCUAAGUGUCUUGUGAAAUCCCACGGCUCACCCGUGGAACUGCUGGGCAUACUGGGCGUCUUGGGCCAACUAGGGGCAGCCGGAACAAGCGGUGGAGCGGUGAAAUGCGCAGAUAUCAGGAGGAACACCGGUGGCGAAGGCGGGUCUCUGGGCAACAACUGACGCUGAGGAGCGAAAGCGUGGGGAGCGAACAGG